rnacentral:lncRNA from 1 species
UACCCUAGUGAAGAUAUCUUCCACACUUUCCCUUUCUUCCAUCUGAAGCAACUCAUACGUUCUUUUUUGAGUUUGUAACUUCAUCUUUUUCACCUUCUCAGCACCUCCAAAAUAUUUCUAUAAGAUGCCCCAUGCUUCCUUCUAUGAGUCUACAUAUUUAACUUUCUUAACAUUGUUUGCAUCAACGUUGUAGCGGUAAAUUCAUGACCAUCAAGCUAUGGAUAAAC